UACUCCAGGAUUUUGGAUUUGAGAUCAAAUGUUUGAUAUGAUGUGACAGUACAGAAUGUCACCUUUUCUUUGAGGGUAUUUUUUAUACAUAUCUAUUUUACCAUUUAGAAAUGGAAGCACUUUAUGUAUCUAGUUAAAAAGGCUUCUGACCUUUGUAAUUUCCCUUUAGAAAUGUUGAACUUGAUUUUCCCUUACGAAAAAUGUAUCAGGCCCUACAAAAACGUCCAUUGAUGCUGCUUUACACCUGGACGCUACACAGCACGUAGUUCUUUGAAGAUGUCAUUCAUGGAGCAUUUUCUGCAGGAUGGAGUGUGUUAGCACUUCACAACUAUUUUAUCAGUUGGAAACACACACAGGAAUUCCGGCUUGGGAAUGACCAUCAAGUUCCUGGCUACUACAGGAAGGUGUGCAUAAAAAGCACUUCCAGAGCGGGCAGCCUCUACCAGUCCUCUCCAUUCAGCGAGGGAACACAAGGGAAGUACACAUUUGUAUAUAUUGAUGAAACAAAUUGGGAGAUGGCCUAGAUGAUAGGCCUGAAGUCAGUCAAUUGAGUAGAGGUGAGGUGGCAGCUGCAACCACGGAGUCUCAAGACGCUUGGCAUUGUGUUCUCUAUUCUAUGAUGGAAGCUUCCCUUACCUCUAACCUCAACAGCCAAUGAACCUGGAGGCCUGCAGUAAUUUCAAAGUGGGAUGGGAUUGUUGACUCCUCUAAACCAGACCAAACCUUGGAUUUCGUCCCACAGAAAAACAAGAUCAAGAGUAUCUGCCUGCUUUACGGUCCAUUAUUACUUUUGGUACGCGCUAGGCCAGUCUCAAACUCGUACCGUGAGUAAUAAUGCACUGUGGCUGUCACUGCCAACGGGGGACAGACCACACCACCAUAUUUUACUUUCACUGUUCUCCAUAUUCCUAUGCAUGUCGUUGUUGUAAAGCAAGAAAUGUGAUAUAUUCAUAAACAGUGUUUGAAACUCUAAGGCCUUGCUUGUGUGGGGAAAGACAGAAUUUUAAUAUAAUCCUUUGUCUACUUUCAUAAACAGAUUAUUCAUUUUACUUAAAUAUUAUUGUUGAGUUGUUUACAUGAAAUAUGUUGAAUUUUCUGUACCUUGUGAUUGUAAGCUAUAUGCGAAUGAAUAAUAAUAAAAAUACUUGAAUUUA